GAUGGUGGAUGUAAAAUGCUUUAAUUUCCAGCUGUUUGCCUCAGAAUCUAGCUGAGUAGCUUGGAUGCAUAGAAGGUCACACGAAGGAGACGUUCACCUGCUGGCUUGCCAUGCCUCUUCCUUUAGGUUGAUCUUCCUCUCUGGUGUCCCCCACACGGCCUUGCAUGGGCCACGGGACAAUUCAGGUGCUUGGAAGAUUUCCCUGGUGACCGUUGGAGAGACGCGGGCGUCCUACAGCCUUGCCUCUGAGUGCCAGGACCGUGCUGACGCAGGGACAGCAGAGCAGGCCCUGACCUAAGGAGCUCCCCGUCUCUGGGGAGGCAGCGCCACAGGAUUACAUCAAGUUGACCACGGUAAUGUUGGAGAUGGCAAAGUGUUUGACUAACGAGAACUGAGCUGGAUGAAAAUACCUGAAAACAAGGCAACAUCAGCCAGGGUGGUGAUGAGAAGGUGUUUGCCAGACUCUCGAGUACAGCGUUUGUUCCCAAAGCGUGUUCCAUGGAGUAGUCUGGUACCCUGCGUGUGAAACGGCUCCCGCGGUUGGAUAAGUGUGUCUGAGUCAGCGGGCCACGAGUUGCUUUUGGACAAUCGUCUACACUGGCAUUUUAAAGGACCUGAGAA